rnacentral:rRNA from 1 species
UUGAACGCUGGCGGCAUGCCUUACACAUGCAAGUCGAACGGCAGCACGGGGGCAACCCUGGUGGCGAGUGGCGAACGGGUGAGUAAUACAUCGGAACGUGCCCUGAAGUGGGGGAUAACGUAGCGAAAGUUACGCUAAUACCGCAUAUUCUGUGAGCAGGAAAGCAGGGGAUCGCAAGACCUUGCGCUUUAGGAGCGGCCGAUGUCGGAUUAGCUAGUUGGUGAGGUAAAGGCUCACCAAGGCGACGAUCCGUAGCGGGUCUGAGAGGAUGAUCCGCCACACUGGGACUGAGACACGGCCCAGACUCCUACGGGAGGCAGCAGGGGGGAAUUUUGGACAAUGGGCGCAAGCCUGAUCCAGCCAUGCCGCGUGAGUGAAGAAGGCCUUCGGGUUGUAAGGCUCUUUCGGCGGGGAAGAAAUCGCACUGGUUAAUACCUAGUGUGGAUGACGGUACCCGAAUAAGAAGCACCGGCUAACUACGU